UACGUAGGGGGCAAGCGUUGUCCGGAAUCAUUGGGCGUAAAGAGCGUGUAGGCGGCCUGGUAAGUCCGCUGUGAAAGUCCAGGGCUCAACCCUGGAAUGCCGGUGGAAACUGUCAGGCUCGAGUCCGGAAGAGGCGAGUGGAAUUCCUGGUGUAGCGGUGAAAUGCGCAGAUAUCAGGAAGAACGCCCGUGGCUAAGGCGGUUCUCUAGUACGGUACUGACGCUGAGACGCGAAAGCGUGGGGAGCGAACAGG
rnacentral:rRNA from 1 species